AACGAACGCUGGCGGCAUGCCUAACACAUGCAAGUCGAGCGAGAAAGUGGCUUCGGUCAUGAGUAAAGCGGCGCACGGGUGAGGAACAUGUGAGUAAUCUGCCCUCAAGUUUGGGAUAACCCUUCGAAAGAAGGGCUAAUACCGGAGAGACCACAAGAACAUCAGUUCAAGGGGUUAAAGGCGGGGAUCGUAAGACCUGUCGCUUGAGGAUGAGCUCGCACGCUAUUAGCUAGUUGGUAGGGUAAUGGCCUACCAAGGCGAUGAUGGCUACCUGGUCUGAGAGGAUGAUCAGGCACACUGGAACUGAGACACGGUCCAGACUCCUACGGGAGGCAGCAGUGGGGAAUUUUGCACAAUGGGCGAAAGCCUGAUGCAGCAAUGCCGCGUGGGUGAAGAAGGCUUUCGGGUUGUAAAUCCCUGUCGGCUGGGAAAAAUGACGUCGUUACUAAUAUCAACGACGGAUGAUGGUACC
rnacentral:rRNA from 1 species